AGAGUUUGAUCCUGGCUCAGAACGAACGCUGGCGGCGUGCCUAACACAUGCAAGUCGAACGCGAAAGUUCCUUCGGGAAUGAGUAGAGUGGCGCACGGGUGAGUAAUACAUAGGAACGUGUCUAUCGGAGGGGAAUAACCAAGGGAAACCUUGGCUAAUACCGCAUGAAGUCGCAAGACCAAAGGAGGCCUAUCCAUGGAAGCUUUCGCCGAUAGAGCGGCUUAUGUCCUAUUAGCUAGUUGGUAGGGUAAAGGCCUACCUAGGCAAUGAUGGGUAACUGGUCUGAGAGGAUGAUCAGUCACACUGGAACUGAGACACGGUCCAGACUCCUACGGGAGGCAGCAGUGGGGAAUCUUGCACAAUGGGCGAAAGCCUGAUGCAGCAACGCCGCGUGGGUGAAGAAGGUCUUCGGAUUGUAAAGCCCUUUCGGCUGGAAAGAAGGGUCCUGUGGCUAAUACCCACUGGAUUUGACGGUACCAGAAGAAGAAGCACCGGCUAAUUCCGUGCCAGCAGCCGCGGUAAUACGGGAGGUGCAAGCGUUGUUCGGAAUGACUGGGCGUAAAGCGCACGUAGGCGGGUUCGAAAGUCGGAUGUGAAAUCCCCAGGCUCAACCUGGGAACAGCACUCGAAACUCCGGAUCUUGAAUGCUUGAGAGGUUGGUGGAAUUCCAGGUGUAGGAGUGAAAUCCGUAGAUAUCUGGAGGAACAUCGGUGGCAAAGGCGACCAACUGGUGGUGCAUUGACGCUAAGGUGCGAAAGCGUGGGGAGCAAACAGGAUUAGAUACCCUGGUAGUCCACGCCGUAACUAUGGAUACUAGGUGUUCGGGAAGUUAACCUCCUGAGUACCAAAGCUAACGCAUUAAGUAUCCCGCCUGGGGAGUACGGUCGCAAGGCUAAAACUCAAAGGAAUUGACGGGGGCCCGCACAAGCGGUGGAGUAUGUGGUUUAAUUCGAAGCAACGCGCAGAACCUUACCUACCCUUAACAUCCCAAGACAGCCUCAGAGAUGAGGUCUUCCUUUCGGGGACUUGGUGAUAGGUGCUGCAUGGCUGUCGUCAGCUCGUGUCGUAAGAUGUCCGGUUAAGUCCGAUAACGAGCGCAACCCCUGUUCUUAGUUACCAGCAUUAAGUUGGGGACUCUAAGGAGACUACCGGUGUUAAACCGGGGGAAGGCGGGGAUGACGUCAAGUCCUCAUGGCCCUUACGGGUAGGGCUACACACGUACUACAAUGGCAGAAACAAACCGUUGCGAAACCGCGAGGUGGAGCUAAUCGGUAAAACACUGUCUCAGUCCGGAUUGCAGUCUGCAACUAGACUGCAUGAAGUUGGAAUCGCUAGUAAUCGCUGAUCAGCAAGCAGCGGUGAAUACGUUCCCGGGCCUUGUACACACCGCCCGUCACACCACGAAAGUGAUCAUAACCAGAAGCAGGUAAGCUAACCGCAAGGAGGCAGCCUACCAAGGUUGUGGUCGCGAUUGGGGUGAAGUCGUAACAAGGUA
rnacentral:rRNA from 1 species